GAUGAACGCUGGCGGCGUGCCUAAUACAUGCAAGUAGAACGCUGAAGGAAGGAGCUUGCUCUUUCCGGAUGAGUUGCGAACGGGUGAGUAACGCGUAGGUAACCUGCCUGGUAGCGGGGGAUAACUAUUGGAAACGAUAGCUAAUACCGCAUAACAGUAGAUGUUGCAUGAUAUCUACUUAAAAGGUGCAAUUGCACCACUACCAGAUGGACCUGCGUUGUAUUAGCUAGUUGGUGAGGUAACGGCUCACCAAGGCGACGAUACAUAGCCGACCUGAGAGGGUGAUCGGCCACACUGGGACUGAGACACGGCCCAGACUCCUACGGGAGGCAGCAGUAGGGAAUCUUCGGCAAUGGACGGAAGUCCGACCGAGCAACGCCGCGUGAGUGAAGAAGGUUUUCGGAUCGUAAAGCUCUGUUGUAAGAGAAGAACGAGUGUGAGAGUGGAAAGUUCACACUGUGACGGUAUCUUACCAGAAAGGGACGGCUAACUACGUG
rnacentral:rRNA from 1 species